CACCUUUUAAAAGUACUCAAUGGGCCUUUUGCUAGUGACCCACUGAGCCGUCAAGAAGGGGCAGAGUGAAAACACCACUUUUGGGUGAAGUGACAACAUGGUGUGUUGUUUACUUCAAUCGGUAUUGUGACAAGA
ensembl:snoRNA predicted gene, 23795